rnacentral:snRNA from 1 species
GUGCUUGCUUCUUCAGCACAUAUACUAAAAUUGAAACAAUACAGAGAAGAUUAGCAUGGUCCGUGCACAUGUAUGACAUACAAAUUCAUGAAGCAUUCGAUAUUUUU